CGACGGGGGGGCGUGCUAUACAUGCAAGUCGUACGCUUCUUUUUCCACCGGAGCUUGCUCCACCGGAAAAAGAAGAGUGGCGAACGGGUGAGUAACACGUGGGUAACCUGCCCAUCAGAAGGGGAUAACACUUGGAAACAGGUGCUAAUACCGUAUAACAAUCGAAACCGCAUGGUUUUGAUUUGAAAGGCGCUUUCGGGUGUCGCUGAUGGAUGGACCCGCGGUGCAUUAGCUAGUUGGUGAGGUAACGGCUCACCAAGGCCACGAUGCAUAGCCGACCUGAGAGGGUGAUCGGCCACAUUGGGACUGAGACACGGCCCAAACUCCUACGGGAGGCAGCAGUAGGGAAUCUUCGGCAAUGGACGAAAGUCUGACCGAGCAACGCCGCGUGAGUGAAGAAGGUUUUCGGAUCGUAAAACUCUGUUGUUAGAGAAGAACAAGGAUGAGAGUAACUGUUCAUCCCUUGACGGUAUCUAACCAGAAAGCCACGGCUAACUACGUGCCAGCAGCCGCGGUAAUACGUAGGUGGCAAGCGUUGUCCGGAUUUAUUGGGCGUAAAGCGAGCGCAGGCGGUUUCUUAAGUCUGAUGUGAAAGCCCCCGGCUCAACCGGGGAGGGUCAUUGGAAACUGGGAGACUUGAGUGCAGAAGAGGAGAGUGGAAUUCCAUGUGUAGCGGUGAAAUGCGUAGAUAUAUGGAGGAACACCAGUGGCGAAGGCGGCUCUCUGGUCUGUAACUGACGCUGAGGCUCGAAAGCGUGGGGAGCAAACAGGAUUAGAUACCCUGGUAGUCCACGCCGUAAACGAUGAGUGCUAAGUGUUGGAGGGUUUCCGCCCUUCAGUGCUGCAGCUAACGCAUUAAGCACUCCGCCUGGGGAGUACGACCGCAAGGUUGAAACUCAAAGGAAUUGACGGGGGCCCGCACAAGCGGUGGAGCAUGUGGUUUAAUUCGAAGCAACGCGAAGAACCUUACCAGGUCUUGACAUCCUUUGACCACUCUAGAGAUAGAGCUUCCCCUUCGGGGGCAAAGUGACAGGUGGUGCAUGGUUGUCGUCAGCUCGUGUCGUGAGAUGUUGGGUUAAGUCCCGCAACGAGCGCAACCCUUAUUGUUAGUUGCCAUCAUUUAGUUGGGCACUCUAGCAAGACUGCCGGUGACAAACCGGAGGAAGGUGGGGAUGACGUCAAAUCAUCAUGCCCCUUAUGACCUGGGCUACACACGUGCUACAAUGGGAAGUACAACGAGUCGCGAAGUCGCGAGGCUAAGCUAAUCUCUUAAAGCUUCUCUCAGUUCGGAUUGUAGGCUGCAACUCGCCUACAUGAAGCCGGAAUCGCUAGUAAUCGCGGAUCAGCACGCCGCGGUGAAUACGUUCCCGGGCCUUGUACACACCGCCCGUCACACCACGAGAGUUUGUAACACCCGAAGUCGGUGAGGUAACCUUUUGGAGCCAGCCGCCUAAGGUUGGAAUGGAGGG
rnacentral:rRNA from 1 species